rnacentral:misc_RNA from 1 species
AGUUUCUAGACGAAACGUCAGUCUGGGCAAAUCUCCGCUAAGGAGGAGCAUGGGAAUAGCUUUGAAUUAGUGACAAUUCUUUUCGCCAGUUUUGCAUAAGUUUCAAUUGUAUAGACAUUGAAAAUGUGAUUUGCUUAAAAUCUAUUCUGUUCAUAGAGAUAAAUAAAUUGAAUUUUGCAUUCUUUUCAGAUUGUAAAGAACGAAAAUUUAAUCGUUAUGAACAUGUUUAGUUUGAAAGAGUUAGCCCUUCAAAAGAUUGUAAAGGAAAGGGAGUCAUUUUUUCAGAAUUCACCAAAGAAUGGUUACAUAAUCCCGUAUAGAAUUGCUGAAGAAUUAUUGAGUCGACUUGACGAAGAGGAAUUUGGAAUUCCCGAAAAUUAUAUAAAGUGUUUUCUUGGAAAGAAAGCUAUUUUGAAAAAUGUCAAGAUGGAUGGACAUCGUUUGUCUGACAAGUCUUAUCUGUCUUUUCUGAAAUGUAGUUAUAUAGAAACAAUUUCCAUAGAGAAUAUUAGACACAUGGGAAUUAAAGAUUGGUUCCAUCUAGUUAAUGGAAGUAAUCUAAGAGAAUUAUCUUUAAAGCAGUGCGUAUUUCGUCUAGGAAAUGGAAAUAAUUCCAGCGUUAAUCUCUAUGAUGAAUUCGAUUUGAGGUCAAUGAAAUGUCUAACGGUACUUAACGUUAGUUUUACAAAUUUUGAUUAUCAAUAUCUCAAUUAUAUCUGCAAAGAAUUGCCAGAUUUGGAAGAAUUGAAUAUUUCCAGUACAUUAGUUGAUGAUUUAACGCCCCUUGAAAAGCUAAAAAAUUUGAAGGCACUCAAUUGUUCAUAUUGUCAAGAUAGAGCUCUAUAUUUGACCUAUUCGUCCUUACACCAGUUAAAAAAAUUAGAAUGGUUAGAUUUGUCCCAAAUGAUGGAAAGACGAAAUGAAGAAGAGAAAAUUUCUGAAUUUAUCGUAUCUGCUCAAUGGCCAAAUUUACAACAUUUGCAUAUGUUUGGCUGUUGGCGAUUAAGCCCCGAACUAAUUCCAAUUUUCUUAAAGAAUCAUUCCAAACUAAAAUAUCUUGGUUUGAACUAUUCAGAACAAGGCUCUAUAGACUUAAAUGAGAUUCGACAGAAUUAUCCGUACGGAUCAUUUCCUUUAGUUAUCACCGAGUUGACUAUGGAAACAUUUCGAAACUUUCUGAAAUAUUCUCUAACUGCCAAAAAGGAAUUUACGGAAGAUCUAAUGUCAAUUUACUUUAAGAAUUGUCUUGCAAUAAGCAAUCACGACUACGAAAUGACAAUACUAUCGGAUUUUGAAAAGAACCAAAUACUAGAUAUUCUUAUAGAUUAUAUUGUUACGGCAAAAAAUAGCUUAAAUUCAUCUUUAGGAAGUUUUGAGCUGUUAAAUUUUGUUGUUGGCUUUCAUAUCUAUUGUUCCCUUUUUCUAAGAUUUAAGGAUUUAUGCUCUGAUUGGAGAAAAAAGAAAAAGAUAUUUGAUAGCUGUUUAACAGCUUUCAAUCAUUGUGUCAAUGAAGAAAACAUAAAUGUUUUACAUUUAAAGUUACUUCAUGUUUAUUCAAAUUUCUUUCAGACGACUCAAGAAAAAUAUGGAAUAGCAAUGAAAAUAUUCUCGAAGUGUCAAAAAAGUAGUGAUAUACUUGAGAGUAUUCCUCUAUUAACUGAAUUAUUUAGUACACUCGAUUGGGAAGAGUUAUCGGACAAAAAUAUUCAAGAGUUACACUUGAGCUUUAUCGGCUUUAUUGAUCAAUCCAAAAGAGUUUUGAACUAUACAGAAUCGAUUGUUCUAUUGAAGGAACUCUAUCAGAAAAAGCUUAGAUUAAGAGUAAAGACGAGCUUACAAUCGAUUAUUAAGACAGUCAAAAUUAAUAGAUGGACAAAAUUCAAAUUAUCUCUAAGGAAGACUUUCAAUCGUCUAAAAUUGAUAAAAAGGAAAUGAUAAGAAAAAGAAAUCAAGGCUAUCUUUCUUUGUUUUUUUUUCCCCUUUUUUUUGAAAUUCUUCUUUUUGCUAUGAUUGAAUGAUAUUUAAAAAAGGAAUAAAAAGAGCAGCAUUUACAUUUAACUCUA